rnacentral:lncRNA from 1 species
AUGAGAGGGACAGUGAGAAGGGAGAAGGGAGGGAGAGGGGAGGGAGAGGAAGGGGAGAGGGAGAAGGGAGAGGGGAGAAGGGAGAGGGAGAAGGGGGGAGGGAGAAGGGGAGAGGGGAAGGGGGAGGGAGAAGGGGAGAGGGAGAAGGGGAGAGGGAGAAGGGGAGAGGGAGAAGGGGAGAGGGAGAAGGGGAGAGGGAGAAGGGGAGAGGGAGAGGGGAGAGGGAGAGGGAGAAGGGAGAAGGGAGAGGGAGAGGGAAGGAGAAGGGAGGGAGAAGGGAGAGGGAGAGGGAGAAGGGGAGAGGGAGAGGGGAGAAGGGAGAGGGAGAAGGGAGAGGGAGAGGGAGAGGGAGAGGGGAGAGGGAGAAGGGAGAGGGAGAAGGGGAGAAGGGAGAGGGAGAAGGGGAGAGGGAGAGGGGAGAAGGGAGAGGGAGAAGGGAGAAGGGAGAGGGAGAAGGGGAGAGGGAGAGGGGAGAAGGGAGAAGGGAGAGGAGAGGGAGAGGGGAGAAGGGAGAGGGAGAGGGAGAAGGGGAGAGGGAGAAGGGAGAAGGGGAGAAGGGAGAGGGAGAAGGGGAGAGGGAGAGGGGAGAAGGGAGAAGGGAGAAGGGAGAGGGAGAGGGAGAGGGAGAAGGGAGAGGGAGAAGGGAGGAGGAGAAGGGGAGAGGGAGAAGGGGAGAGGGAGAAGGGGAGAGGGAGAGGGGAGAAGGGAGAGGGAGAAGGGGAGGGGAGAGGGGAGAAGGAGAGGGGAGAAGGGAGAGGGAGAGGGAGAGGGAGAGGGAGAAGGGAGAGGGAGAAGGGGAGAGGGAGAAGGGAGAAGGGAGAGGGAGAAGGGAGAGGGAGAAGGGAGAAGGGAGAGGGAGAAGGGAGAGGGAGAAGGGAGAGGGAGAAGGGGAGAGGGAGAGGGAGAAGGGAGAGGGAGAAGGGAGAGGGAGAAGGGGAGAGGGAGAAGGGGAGAAGGGAGAGGGAGAAGGGAGAGGGAGAGAUGGUCAUUUCAAAAGAAACCUUGACAAGUUACAACCGGUAUUAA